UUGCAGGCAAACUGGGGAGAAGCCCAAUGCCCCUCUCUAGCAAGCCCAGGGGGCUCAGCCUCCCUCUCCCCCACAGCAGGGACACUUCUUUCAAGAGGGACCAGCCACCAGCCAGACCUCACAACCACACCCCAGUGGGGGGUGAUGUCACUGAACUGGGGCUGAAUCUGGCACUGGUGAGGGACCACUAAGGCCAAAAGCUGCUGGCAGGCAAGCUGGAGCCACCCUGCCAGCAAUCCUGGAGUGUGUCCUGACCCCUCCACUGCUCCUCUCCCCCUUGAACUCAGCACUGCAGCUGAGAAAAGCCCCUGAGGAGUGGGGCCACCCCUUGCAGAGGGGCUGCAGCUGGGAGGGAAGGCAGGGAUAGAGGCUGGAGGGAUGGAGCAGCAGAGCAAAGCAGCAGCUGCCUCCUGCUGUGUUGGGCUGUCCCCUUUCCCUGGAUGCCACCUGGUGACCAAAGGCUCUGGGGACAGGGCACUGACCUGAUGAGGAGGUCCCGCAGAACAGCAGAAUCCUUUAUGUUGGAGAAGACCUCUAAGAUCAUCGAGUGCAACCAUUAAAUAUCACACAGGAAUGGCAAAACAAAAACAACUGUGCUGUGCAAAGGCUGCCUGUGGCCAUGGCUGUGUCCUGGGGGUCUGCCUGUGCUGAAGGCCCAAGUAGAAGAUGAGGGUUUAAUGAAUCCCAUCGAACUCAGAAUGUUCAGGGACACAGCACAAGAGGGCAGCAGAGCUUCAAAAUACAGAUUUUCCUGGCAGCUUUGUUAAACCAUCCCUCAACACAGGAUUCCUAUUAAAAAGACUUGUAAAUGACA